rnacentral:sRNA from 1 species
UUUAUUCCCAAAGCUUUGAUGGUGAAGACAAAAUUCUUAUGAGUUUUUGGUGUUUUGAAUCGUUUAACAAGGAAGCAUUACUUUACUUUUCGAGAUCUGGUCGAGGUUCUAGCUUUAUAUUCAAUCAUACACAUAACAUCUAGUCAUAUUUAACUCUGAAACGCUAACGUAGAUUCUUUUUGCUUCUUAAAGUAUUAAAUAUUUUUGCUCCUAAACACUAAACAUAAACCCUACACCCUAAAUCCCAAACCCUAAAAUCUAAUCCCUAAACCCUAAACCCUAAACCCUAACCCUAAAU